AAUAUAUUUUUUAAUUGUUGCAAUAGAUGCGACGAAAUAUAAUAAUACGUGCUGUAAUUGAUCUAUUUUGCAUCAAACUUAAACUACGAAUUUGCAUUUUUUUAAAUUUGUCAAUUAUUUUUGAAUUUUAGUAUAGACAUUAGUUAGUGAAACACAUUUUCCUCUCCCAUAAGUCAUUGAUACAAUAUUGCAAUGCGUAAUUUAGAAGUAAUUUGUAAUUUAAAAUAUGGCAUCAAACAAAAGAUAUUGUCUUUUAAAUAUAUAUGUAUAUAUUUAUUUGCGCGCCCAAUCAAAGAUGUAAUACUGAUAAAUAUCAGCAUGCCUAUAUUACAUGAUUAGACGUACUACAAGAAUAAACUUUUUACCUGAGUUAAACAACAAGUAGAUGAAUGACAGAUAAGUAAUGAAUAAGAGAUACAGUCAGGAACACGUGCACAUGCUGCAUGCUAUUUCACAUCGACGUGCACGCAUCAGUCGCACAAGAUCUACUAAGUCCUGAGGCAUCGAGAAGGUAUAGCUGCCUAUAGCGCUGGCGUUUACAUAAUUGGAGAGCGAAAUAUGUCUAUAUAUUUUCGUUAUUACGCUCAAUUUACUUAUUUCGUGAAAUGUGUUUUAAGUAUAGCAAAUAUCGGUACUUCCACAUUGUUCGGUGCAUCUACAGUAACAUCUAUUUUUCAUUGUAUAAUAAAGGAAAAUGAUAGCAAAGUAUAAAAUUAUUCUUUCUCUUGUCUCGUCUUAAUAAUAGUAAAGAGACACUAGAAGUUUGAUAAAAAAGAAAACCUUUAGUAUAUUUGCCGGAACAUUUGUCAACCAUUUUUCUCACAAAGCGUCUCCGUUCGUCGCGCAGAAUGGUAUUUGUAGGUGAACGCUGUUAUAAGAUUCAUCGAAUUAUGUUUAUGAUUAUGGGAUUCUGGCCGUAUCAGAAACCAUUUAUCUGGCGAAUGCAAGCAGUUUUCUUUUUCAGUGCAUAUUGCUGCAUUAUAUUUUCAAAGUUUGCGGCCUUUUUUACGACAACAUGUAACAUGGACUGUAUCUUAAAAAAAUUUACUUAUAUUUGUGUAACUUCUUGUUUUGUUUUGUGUUACUGUUCUUUCUAUUGCAAUUCUGAAUUUGUGAGUAUUAUUUGCGUUUUUUGUGUGUUAUAUAAAAUUUUCAAAAGUUCUAAUCCUGCUGUAUUAUGUAUAUAUGUUUGAGAAAAGAUAAAGCAAGCGUUGAAACAUAUGCAAUUAGAUUGGAAAAUGUUUGAAAAUAGUGACACAAUUAAAAUAUUUGAAGAAUAUCUCUUCCUAUCUUAUAUUUUCGCAUUAUUUGCGAUUAGUAAGUGAAUAAAAAAUAAAACUAUAAUUUUUGUAUCAUAUUAACUAGAGCUGCAUUUUAAUUUCAAUUGAUGUGUUUUUUCUACUCUCUAGUGAUUGUUCCUACAUGUGCAUCCGCGCUUAUGGCUAUUGAAUGUAAACCUGUCAUUCUUGAUGCUAUUAUACCGUUGAAUACAUCCCGACCACGUAUAAUUGAAGUUGAUUAUGAAUUGUUUCUUGAUAAAGAGGAAUAUUUCUUUUUGUAUGUUAUGCAUGAGGUACUAGGAACGACAAUUGGCUUUUACUCGAUACUGGUAGUUGCAACAUGUUGCGUUUUGAUUGUGAGACACAGCUGCGCAACACAUAAAAUUGCAAGGGUAGUUUACAUAAUGAGGACGCCGUGGCGUAGUUGGUUAGUGCAGAGAUCGCUACUCAAAAGACUCGAGUUCAAAUUCCGCCAUACCAUGAUGGAUUUUUACGGACGGUCCUCCCUCGGAAGGCAAUAGCAAACCACCGAGGUACUUUGCCAUGAGCAUUCCUCAAAAAUAGAAGUGCUUUCGAGAACUUCUGGCGGUUCGGAAUCCGCCUAAAAAUAUAGGUCCUCUAUGCUCGUGUAUAAUCUGCACAUCGCGAGUAUAGAAGAGGAAUCACCACGCUCUGACAAAGAGCAAUAGGACUAAGAAGAAGUGUAUAUAAUAUCUUUAUUAACAAUGAUGCUACGGUCGAUUCAUAUAAAUCGCUUUCAGUUGUAUAAUACAAAAUACGGCGAUUGCCCACACGCUGCAAAUUCCUGUUACUCAAGAGAUACAAUUUAUACAUCGAAGCAUUUCUUUUUCUGUUUACCUUCACCGCAGAACUUUGAAGUUAGUUUUCAUACAAGUUAAUAUUUUUCUUAUUCAUCGUAUUAAUUGUUAACAUUCACCUUUGUCUGCAUUUGCAGUCAGGAAUUUAUAGUUUUGAAAAUAAUUAGACGUAAUGUUACUAACUAUAUAUUUUGUUACAUUACAGGUUAAUGAAAGACUUCAUGCAUGCGGUCAAUUUGUGGUAUUUUCCAUUAGUUGUAAUUUGCAUACUGUGUUUAAGUUGCCUUCUACUUCGCCUCUACAAUGCUAUAACAGACACCAAUGAUUUGCAUAAUACUUUAGUGUGCUGUGUGCUUUUGUAUACUUGUUUCAUGUAUAUGUUUAUUACAAGUUUUCUUGUACAAUCAUAUUCUGAACACAGUAUAUUGAUAUUAAAAUCUACAUAUGAUACUCUUUGGUACGUAGCGCCAGUACCGAUCCAAAAAUUGUUCUUAUUUAUGCAAACAUCUAUAAAGGCUCAUAUGCUAGUGUUAGGUGGUCUGUUUGUUUUUUCUAUGGAAGGAUUUUCUACGGUAAAAUAUUGCGUACACGAAAGUGUACAUUGCAAAUGUUUUCAGACAGUAAAUACAGCCAUUGACAUUAUUACUUUUGUUAAUAUAUAGGACAUGCUGAAAAUCAUAGUACAUGAUCAGAAGGAGGAAACUCCUUGUACAAAAAAGUCUAAAAUAUAAAAUAUAAAAUAAAAUUAUUUUGGCUUUCCAAGAAAAUUUGAUUUGAAGUUUGAAGUUAUAAUGAUUCAGGUAAACGUUAUACCAUAUUUUUGUCCAUGUAUCUAUACAAACAUUAACAAUUUUGUAGUUUAAUACAAGAAAUAGUAACGCAAAACUUUUGAGAGGCUAUUUAUUUUAUUUAUUCACGAACUACUGGAAUCAUUGCUAUCUACAAAUCGGUGAUCGUCGUCAAUUUCAAAAGAAUUGUAAACUAAUACUAACGUAUUCAGAAUUGUUACUUCUAUACGAACACUUCCACUUCUAUUAUAUAAUUUUUUAAUUAAAGAUGAUUGUGAUGUGUAUUUACUAUAAACUCUUUUUUUAAUACGUCCAUAAGUUUUCAAUGAAAAGAUCAUAUGCGCUGUAUAUCGUGUCAUAUGGAUAUGUCUGUCGGUUCAUAAAUACUCAUCGAUUAAAUCACUAGUAUAGAUACCAUAGACAAACAAUUGUCUAGAUUAAUAUUUACAAACAUGGACAGAAAUAGUAAUGUGUGUACCUUUGAAUUGAAACAUGAUAGUCAAGUAUAUGUGCACUCCACGAAUUUUCAUACCUAAUUGUUUGGAAAGUCUCAUAUAAAAAUAUUUUAUGCUUUCUCCCUCCACACAGUUUUUCCCACUAGAAAUUACUUCAUUUUCGGUUGCAUUAUUUUCGACAGAUCCUGUAUAUUAACAUAAGUAAUAACUGUAAUGGAUAUAUUUAGCAGUUGGAGGCACUUCCUGAUAACUUUUAAUGAUUACUGUCGAUACAGAGGAAGCUUCUCGUUUCAGAUUUUGACCACGGCUAUAUCAUAUUUUACUGUUUUAAAUACUAUGCAUUCAUGAACCUGAAAUGAAAUAAUGAAGAAGAUGUAGUCAUCAAGAGUAACGCUUAUUUAUGUAAAAAUUAUUAUUUUAACAAAGAUAAGUUACGGAAAUUGUCUGAGAAUAUAGUUAUAUGUGUUGUAUGAUGUACGUCAUAAAUAUGUGUAGUUAUUACACAUCUAUUUUGAGCACCGUAUUAUUUCAUUGUAUUUGACAGUGUCACUUUUAUAAUAAUUUUUCUGCUUUAUGGAAUUAUUUGCUAAUUAUAGGAGGUUGCAAAAGUUCGCUCACAAUACAAGUACAGUCACGAAUAGUGAGUAUAGCUCAACAAAAACUCGUUCCAAACAUUAAAAGGGCUUGCCGAGUCAUUAACUCCAAGUUAAUGCAGUAUCCUGUCAUUUAAAAGCAAUGGGAAAGAUCCAAGAGGAAAAAAUGACGAACUUUUGCAAAUAUCUAAUAUUUUAUUAUAUUUUAUUAAGUACUCAUUAUUAAAUUUGGUUAUUCUAUAUUGUAAUUGAUUGAAAUAAGAUAUUAAUAUAUUUUAGAAUUGAGUUAAUAAUUUGAGCAAUCACAAAUGUUCACUAUGAUAUAUAAUAUGUUAUAUAUACAGGGUAUCUGACAUAAGGCGAAAAAUCUCUCGCCUACACUGAGAA